rnacentral:miRNA from 8 species
GCUGUCUGUGGAUUCCGUGCCC